rnacentral:rRNA from 1 species
UACGUAGGGGGCAAGCGUUGUCCGGAUUUAUUGGGCGUAAAGAGCGUGUAGGCGGCUAGGUAGGUCCGUUGUGAAAACUCGAGGCUCAACCUCGAGACGCCGAUGGAAACCAUCUAGCUAGAGUCCGGAAGAGGAGAGUGGAAUUCCUGGUGUAGCGGUGAAAUGCGCAGAUAUCAGGAAGAACACCCGUGGCUAAGGCGGCUCUCUAGUACGGUACUGACGCUGAGGCGCGAAAGCUAGGGUAGCAAACGGG